GUCAUUUUACAGUCCAAACCACAGGGAUAGUUGAGUUCUCCCAGUAGAGAGAGAUCAGCAGGCGGAGUGCUAGAUGACAGAAGUGUGCAUAAAUUUUCCAGACACAGAGAACAAAAUACCAGGAAAUAGCCAGAGGGAGCCAAGCAAAAGAGAGAAAUGUGGCAGCACAUCCCUCGAAGCACUGGCAGUGACUGUGAGACACCUUGCUAGCUGGCUCCUGGUGCUGACUCCCAGCUUUCAUCUACAGCUGUAGGACUAUGGAUGCCCUGACUGCCCUGCAGCCAUUGGUCAGCAGAACAAAUGGUGUACAGCUGCUCCACCUCCAGUGCUUGAGCUGUGACAACCUACACAUGUCAUUUAUGCAAGUGCUCUUCUGUGUCGGUAGCUCCCCAUGCGAAGGGAGGUUCAGAGGAAUGCUGACACAGAGCCUUGGUGUCCUCAUCCCUGGUCCCUGGAGCAGAGAUUCUGGAGAUGUGGGCCCAUCUGUCAUGAACAGUCUUGCAAGGUGCUAUCAGGAUGAAGAUAACCAGAGCACUCAGCUGGCUUCCUCAGGGUGAUUGUAUGCAACACUGAGCUUCACUUCACGUGUAACAGCGUAACUGGAAAAAGACAGUAAAGUCCUUUACAGUCUUGAAAAAGUGUCAGGGAUUUUAUGUAUUCACUGAGGCUUAGAGUUCAAAGGUGAAGACAAUAUCACGCUUUGAUAUACCGAGAGUCAAUCAUCAUCUCAUCUCAACUGGAAAACAAAUGCUUGGGAGGGUGUGUGGGGGGAGUUCAAUUCAAAGCUGGUAUGCAUGGUAAACCCCCUAAUCCUAGCACCUGUGAUAAACGCUAUCCAGCACUAGAAGGUGGAAUUCAACUCAGCUGGCACAGGAGGAUACAAAUGUUUUUGGGAACCUCCCCACUAUUUACUGGGGAAAACUUUGACAUUCACAGUGUCAGGUACUUCAGGUGUCAACCUCCUGGGGACAAGAGGGCCAUCAAAGAGAACAAAUGGUAGAGGAAAUAAUUAUUAUAUAAUGUUUUGGUUGUUUUUUUUUUUUAAUAGUAUUCU
rnacentral:lncRNA from 1 species